GACGAACGCUGGCGGCGUGCCUAAUACAUGCAAGUUGAGCGCUGAAGGUUGGUACUUGUACCAACUGGAUGAGCAGCGAACGGGUGAGUAACGCGUGGGGAAUCUGCCUUUGAGCGGGGGACAACAUUUGGAAACGAAUGCUAAUACCGCAUAAAAACUUUAAACACAAGUUUUAAGUUUGAAAGAUGCAAUUGCAUCACUCAAAGAUGAUCCCGCGUUGUAUUAGCUAGUUGGUGAGGUAAAGGCUCACCAAGGCGAUGAUACAUAGCCGACCUGAGAGGGUGAUCGGCCACAUUGGGACUGAGACACGGCCCAAACUCCUACGGGAGGCAGCAGUAGGGAAUCUUCGGCAAUGGACGAAAGUCUGACCGAGCAACGCCGCGUGAGUGAAGAAGGUUUUCGGAUCGUAAAACACUGUUGGUAGAGAAGAACGUUGGUGAGAGUGGAAAGCUCAUCAAGUGACGGUAACUACCCAGAAAGGGACGGCUAACUACGUG
rnacentral:rRNA from 1 species